rnacentral:rRNA from 1 species
CCUUCUGUACCCCCCAUUGUAACACGUGUGUAGCCCCGGACGUAAGGGCCGUGCUGAUUUGACGUCAUCCCCACCUUCCUCACAUCUUACGACGGCAGUCUCUCUAGAGUCCUCAGCAUGACCUGUUAGUAACUAAAGAUAAGGGUUGCGCUCGUUAUGGCACUUAAGCCGACACCUCACGGCACGAGCUGACGACAACCAUGCAGCACCUUCACAAAUGCCUUACGGCUAACCAAUUUCUUGAUUAUUCAUUUGCAAUUUAAGCCCGGGUAAGGUUCCUCGCGUAUCAUCGAAUUAAACCACAUGUUCCUCCGCUUGUGCGGGCCCCCGUCAAUUCCUUUGAGUUUCACCGUUGCCGGCGUACUCCCCAGGUGGAAUACUUAAUGCUUUCGCUUGGCCGCUUACUGUAUAUCGCAAACAGCGAGUAUUCAUCGUUUACUGUGUGGACUACCAGGGUAUCUAAUCCUGUUUGAUACCCACACUUUCGAGCAUCAGUGUCAGUUACAGUCUAGUGAGCUGCCUUCGCAAUCGGAGUUCUUCGUGAUAUCUAAGCAUUUCACCGCUACACCACGAAUUCCGCCCACCUCUACUGUACUCAAGACUGCCAGUUUCAACUGCNAAUUUUACGGUUGAGCCGCAAACUUUCACNAACUGACUUAACAAUCCACCUACGCUCCCUUUAAACCCAAUAAAUCCGGAUAACGCUCGGAUCCUCCGUAUUACCGCGGCUGCUGGCACGGAGUUAGCCGAUCCUUAUUCAUAUGGUACAUACAAAAUUCCACACGUGGAAAACUUUAUUCCCAUAUAAAAGAAGUUUACGACCCAUAGAGCCUUCAUCCUUCACGCUACUUGGCUGGUUCAGGCCUGCGCCCAUUGACCAAUAUUCCUCACUGCUGCCUCCCGUAGGAGUUUGGACCGUGUCUCAGUUCCAAUGUGGGGGACCUUCCUCUCAGAACCCCUAUCCAUCGUAGUCUUGGUGGGCCGUUACCCCGCCAACAAACUAAUGGAACGCAUCCCCAUCGAUAACCGAAA